AUGUUCUCGCGAUAUUUAAUGUCGAACGUAACGCACGUAGACAGGGUGGAAAUCCAGUCUAGCUAGAUAAACGCUUUCAUUUGAAUUAAUGUCUGUUUAAAAAGAAGAUUUGAAAACUUUGAGAAAUCGAUUUAAAGGUGCAGGUCUGGCUGGAACAGGAACCACCCCACUACCUCAACUACAAGCAAUCACCAUGGAGGGUUGUCAAAUGUCCUGCUCGUUUUUUGGGUGCAAGAGGACCUACAAUAGUCCGGAAGCACUGAAUAGUCAUCUUCAGGACCAUCAAAAGAACACUGCCCAUUCUCUUCCAGGGAAAACCUUCCUAUGCUCUCAUAUAGGAUGUGAUGGUUCAUUUAACAACAUGCAGCAGCUAAUGGAACAUAUGAGGCACCAUUACAAGCCAAAUAACUUUUUCCUGUGCGAGAGCUGCAGGGCCAAACUGCGUUCUUACCGCACUCUUCUCAAACACCUGCAGACCUGUGCUAAAGUUGCUAAGAACAAGGCUGCAAAAAUAGAGACUGGAAUGGCACCUGACGGAGAUCCCACCAAUGUUCUGCCCGCUUCCACUGACAUGGAAUCAUCUGGACCCCUCUUAGCCCCAAAUGCACCUGAGGAGAUGGAGUCUAUGCCAUCUAUGCCCUCUUUGCCCACAAAUCCAACACUGGCAAGCAUGCCAGUAACCCAGCGGCCUGCAGAAAACAACGCAUUUGCUAACCCCAUACCUGCAGGGCCUGUAACUGUGCCGCUUGCCACUCUAAAUCCUGCCUCAAUCCAAAAUCUUCCUUGCCAACCAGAAUCUCCCUACAGCUCCUUUCCACCUACUCUGUCUCCUGUUAACCAAGUCUUCCAGCCAGAUCCGGGCCUACAGCAGCAGCAGAGGUCUCCAAGGUCUGGUCCUCCUAGUCUAACAGCUUCACCGCCGCUGCCGUCACCACCAGGAUCAAACGCAGUCUGGAGGAAGAACCAAGACCCGCCCGGGCCCCUUUUGCACAGAUGGAACUCUCCGAGCAGUCAGAGUUUAAAUAGAGAUGAAGUCCAGGUCAGUCCUUCAACUGCCGAAUCCUGUGGGAGCACACAAGAGGUCGGUACAGUUGCCUACAGUGUGGCCACUGCACCCCAGACCGGGGGGAGAUGACCGCUCAUAUUGAGGGCCAACACAAGAACCCAGGGGGCAAAGUGAACACUGAUCAUGAUACAGAGAUUGCCACCGCAUCUUUACUGGCUAAGACUUCACUAAACUCUGAGAACUCAACUUAUACACAGCUCUAACAUGAAAUGAGAUGCUAAACCUGCUGAUUGACAAAGAAUUUUGGUUGUAGCAUUUUAUACAGAGGGAGAUGCUCAAUUUUAAUUUUAACAGACAAUGUGGACUUCAUGCAUCUGUGGUCUGGAUCUGUCAAUAUCACUAUUCAAACACAUGAAGAGGUGCAUGCCUUAUCUUCAGUAAGCAUUUAUGAGUCAUCUCUAAGAAAAUGUCUUGUUAGGUUUCAUUAAAUAAUUUGAAAUGGCAUAUAAAUAAACUCAUUAAU